UACGUAGGGGGCAAGCGUUGUUCGGAAUUACUGGGCGUAAAGGGCUCGUAGGCGGCCAACUAAGUCAGACGUGAAAUCCCUCAGCUUAACUGGGGAACUGCGUCUGAUACUGGAUGGCUUGGAUUCGGGAGAGGAAUGCGGAAUUCCAGGUGUAGCGGUGAAAUGCGCAGAUAUCAGGAGGAACACCGGUGGCGAAGGCGGUUCUCUGGGCAUGUCCUGACGCUGAGGAGCGAAAGUGUGGGGAGCGAACAGG
rnacentral:rRNA from 1 species